rnacentral:rRNA from 1 species
UACAGAGGUGGCAAGCGUUGUUCGGAAUUACUGGGCGUAAAGGGCGCGUAGGCGGUCUUAUAAGUCUCGUGUGAAAUCCCUCGGCUUAACUGAGGAACUGCACGGGAUACUGCAAGACUUGAGAUCGGGAGAGGGAAGCGGAAUUCCGGGUGUAGCGGUGAAAUGCGUAGAUAUCCGGAGGAACACCGGUGGCGAAGGCGGCUUCCUGGACCGACACUGACGCUGAGGCGCGAAAGCUAGGGGAGCAAACGGG